rnacentral:rRNA from 1 species
AUUGAACGCUGGCGGCAGGCUUAACACAUGCAAGUCGAGCGGAGAUGAGGUGCUUGCACCUUAUCUUAGCGGCGGACGGGUGAGUAAUGCUUAGGAAUCUGCCUAUUAGUGGGGGACAACAUUCCGAAAGGAAUGCUAAUACCGCAUACGUCCUACGGGAGAAAGCAGGGGAUCUUCGGACCUUGCGCUAAUAGAUGAGCCUAAGUCGGAUUAGCUAGUUGGUGGGGUAAAGGCCUACCAAGGCGACGAUCUGUAGCGGGUCUGAGAGGAUGAUCCGCCACACUGGGACUGAGACACGGGCCAGACUCCUACGGGAGGCAGCAGUGGGGAAUAUUGGACAAUGGGGGGAACCCUGAUCCAGCCAUGCCGCGUGUGUGAAGAAGGCCUUAUGGUUGUAAAACACUUUAAGCGAGGAGGAGGCUACUGAGACUAAUACCCUUGGAUAGUGGACGUUACUCGCAGAAUAAGCACCGGCUAACUCUGUGCCAGCCGCCGCGGUAACAC